AAGUCGUAACAAGGUUUCCGUAGGUGAACCUGCGGAAGGAUCAUUACAACGUCCAAAAGACAAACCAAUCGCGAACUUAGUACCCUUUGGACUAAAGGCAGAGCGGAUGUAAACCUUUGUGAUGAAGGCGCCUCGGCGCCUUGGGUUGAUCCGAUCGCAGCAUUUCGGUGCUGACUUUGGCUUCCGAAGCGGUUUAUCCACAUACAUCACUUCUAACAUUACUAAACCCUUUAACACUUUUGAACUGACUUGUUGUUGACGCGGUGCUCCUUUCCGGAGUGCUACUUAACAAUUGAUUACGUAAAUUACGAACAACUCUUAACAACGGAUCUCUUGGCUCUC
rnacentral:misc_RNA from 1 species